ACCCACAUCUGUAACCUACAACACAGCUCACGGCAACUGUGGAUCCUUAGCCCACUGAGCAAGGCCGGGGAUUGAACCUACAUCCUCAUGAAUACUAGUCAGGUUCAUAAACCGCUGGGCCACAAAUGGAACUCCUGAGCAAGGCUUUCUAAUCAGCAAUAAAUUUGAGACAACCAUGAAUCAUGUUGCAAUAAAGACUUAAUUUAUUUGGCAACAAACAUAUAAUUUAUUGCUGUUUCAUUGGCUUACCAACUAUUGCACAACAUUAACAUAGAUGACUCGAGCAAAGUCUUUCAGGAAAUAAACUAGACUGAACUUAAAUGCAUCCACAUUUCUUAUUAUAUUUAUAUAUGAUGAUGUUAAUUUGUAAAUGCCUAUAUUCAUGUCCAUUUCACAUUAUCCUGUGGUCAUUUAUGUAUAGGAUAAAUGACAAACUUUUGGAUAGAAGUAAAAAUUUAAUAUUCAAAGAUCAAAUCAAGAUUCCAGGAGUUAUGGCAGACUGAAAGAAUAUUAAAAUGUGAAAGCUAUUAAACAUUAAUAGCAAUCCUUUCUCAAACUUAAAUUUUAUUAUACUUUACAGUUUACAAAAGUAAUUAACAUUUUUCAUGUUAUUUUAUUUAAGGCUCACUAAACUCUAUGAGGCUUAAUGAAAUUUUUAUUAUGCACAUUUUAUGGAUCAUCAAAACUCUGACUUUUAUAAGGGUUGAGCAAUACAAGUUUAAGCUCUAUAUUUCAGUUAAUUGUAUAUUUCCUAGGUGUUUCCAUUGUGCCAGUCAGAAUCAAAGAUGAACAUGACUGGAUUCCUUAUUAGAUCUAAUGAAGGAGAUGGAUGAUCAAGUAGUUCAAUUAAAUACAAUAAGUGCUGGAGGAGGAGUUCCCAUGGGGGCUCAGCAGUUACAAACUCAACUAGUAUCCAUGAGGACUUGGGUUUGAUCCCUGUCCCUGUUCAGUGGGCUAAGGAUCUGGCAUCGCCAUGAGCUGUGGUGUAGGUCACAGACAUGGCUCAGAUCUGGCAUUGCUGUGGCUGUGGUGCAGGCCGGCGACUACAGCUCUGAUUCCGCCCCUAUCCUGGGAACUUCUAUAUGCCAGAACUGCUGGAGGGGAAGUUAUCAUACCUGUUAAUAAGGAAGGGAUUGAAAACGUAUCUUUGUAUACAAGUCCUAUGUCAUUAUGGAGACACUUAAACUUCAUUAUUAUUUUGCCAUGGAUUUUGGAUGAAAGUCUAAUAUAAUCCAUAUUCUGAAAAAUAAAUGGACUCAUAUAGAAGGGAUAUUCUUUCCAAAGGAAGAUCUCAUAUUAAUAAGAUAUGAUUAAAAACUAUUUCUGAGAAAGAUUCUUAGAAUUGGAAAGUCAAGGUAGGGUCACUAGCCAUCCUGGUUUUCUCAGAAUUGAAGGGUUUACCAGGACACUGGACUUUCAGUGUUAAAAUUCAGAAAAUCCUGGACAAACUAGGAUAGGUGGUCAACUUAAGAUUAAGAAAUCAUAAAACAAAUUUGUUAUCCCAAGAACCAAUUUCAGUUAGGCUCAACCCCGUGGUCUAGAUCCAUUUAUUUCUGGAUUGAGUUGGAUUAUAAAAACCAAUAAGGAAGACAAAGCCAAAUAAUCACUUCUAUUUGUAGAACAUAUAAGAUUUAUAAAAACUGGUCUCAAUCUUCAUAAAUUACCCAGGUGCAUUUCAUGACACUGAUAAGAACAAGAAUUGUUAUCUCUAUUUUACAGAUAAAGAAACAGACUCCGAGCUAAGAAAUUUGAUCAAGGACAUAAAACUCAUAAGUGCCCAGAAAAAAACCUAGAACCCAGGAUUACUAAGGAUCCCAGAUUACGUCAAUACCUGGUGGUAAAAAGUCCAAUUAGAUAAUAGCCUAGCUCACCCAGUCUGAAAGGUUAUUCAUGAGUAUUAGUAAAUUUGGGUUGUACUUAAAAUGUACUCAAUCAACAUGAGAACAAGAAGUGACAUAAAUUCAAACUUAAGUGGAAGUUUAUAAAUACUAGGAACACUCAACUCCUGGGGCACCUUAACCGAAAGAUUUUGCAUACCUAACUUCUCCUAAGUGAGUAACUUUAUAACUGUCUGACUAUUUUUAUUGCUGUAUUGCAACGGUGAUAAAUACCAAUCCCAGAUGGUGCUUUGGAAAUCACAAAGCACUACACAGACGUAAUAUUUUGCCAUUAUUAUUUAAUUUAUGUACAUCAGGUCAGGAUCUCAGCAACUGGCGCUUUAUCACUCUUAGGCUGAAGUAAGACUUCCGGUUAGUUUUCCACCCUUGAAUGGAUGAGUCAGAUAUAAUUCCUGCUUUUAAUAUUUCUGGGGCUAAAGUCACAUUUGCCACUCACUCCAGUGCUAAGGUGGUACAGUGGGUAAUAAUUUCUUCGGCUUUAAUACUUCUCCCACCUUAUCUAAUCCCUACAGCUCCUUUUAGGCAGACCAAACACACACGUUUGUAGUAUUUUCCAUUAUAAAUUUUAUCACAAAAAAGUUCAGAUGAACCAAUGAGAUUUUAAGAAUGACAAAAAUAAAAUACCUCAAAUUGAACCUUUAAUAUACUCAUAUUUGGGUUAGUUUUCUGUCAUAAAUGAAGAGGUCUGCAGGUAGAAAAAGAAAUUAUAAAGGCUUAUUUAAGAAGUCCUCUUUUCUCACUUGCAUUUGAUUGUGGAUCCAACCAUAAAAUUAGUUGCUCAAGGCUUGAGAGAAAUUAUCAAAGACCACGUUCCCAAAGAAGACAAGCCAUUGUAACUAAUUUCUCUCCACCUGCUAGGGAAUGAUUUUUUCCUUUUAUAAAAAUAUCAUAAAAAUAUCUUUCAUCAUGAAGAUAUGCAUACCUCAUUCCAAAAUGCCAAAUAGCAUAUGUUUACUUUCAAAAUUAAAAAUCAACAUGUUUCUUUUCUCCAAUGUUCAUUGCAGCACUUGUUUCAAGACAUGGAAACAACCUAAAUGUCCAUCGACAGAGGAGUGGAUCAAGAAGAUGUGGUACAUAUAUGCAAUGGAAUAUUACUCAGCCACUAAAAGGAACCAGCAUUUUUAGCAACAUGGAUGGACCUAGAAUUAGCAUGCUAAGUGAAGUUGGUCACACAAUGAGAAACCAACAUCAAAUGCUUUCACUGACAUGUGGAAUCUGAAGAAAGGACAGAAUGAACUUCUUUGCAGAACAGAUACUGACUCACAGACUUUGAAAAACUUAUGAUCUCCAAAGGAGACAGUUUGGGGGGUGGAGGGAUGUGCUGGGGUUAUGGGAUGGAAAUCCUAUAAAAUUGGAUUGUGCCAAUCAUUGUACAACUACAAAUGUAAGAAAUUCAUUGAGUAAUAAAAAAUCAACACCAAUUUGCAUUCAUUCAGUACGUGCGGUAAAGAUGUUAGCUGUCCACACAGAAAAUUAUGUUCCCUAUUCUAGAAUACAGUAGGUAUUUCCCAGAGGCAUCUUCCCAGGCAAUGAGUACAUUCCCCAGAAGCCCUUUGCAUAAAAGUCCAAUCCCAUGACUAAUUCACACCAAUAAAUGUGUGUAUUACUUCUGAGCCUGCAUUUAUAACAGAAGCAGUUGUACACUCUUUGCUGCCUCCCUCCACCUGUUGGAGCCUAGUAGAUGGUGGAGCUGCAAGAUGGAAGGUGCCUGAGUCCCUGAAACACCCCAAAGCCACCACCAAACAGUACAUCCCAGUAUACUUGUUCAGGAAUAGAAAGAAAACUCUAUUAUGUUAAGCCACUGGAAUUUUAAUUUCCUUGUUUCGAUAGCUAGCAUUACCCUAAUUGAAUACUUCAGGCAAAUAAAUUCCCAACUCCAGCAUCCAUUUGUUGUUUUGUCCAGGAAAAUAUGAUGUUUGAAAAAGUCAGAUGAACAGUCACUCACAUUCUGAAUUGGGUAUAGACACAAGAGGCCUCAUCCACCCCUUAUGUUUAACCACACUGCCUGCGGCCAGGUGGCAGUCACACAAGCUAUUUUCUCAGGCUGGAAAAUCUCCUUCCUAUCUCCACUCUUCUGGCCUCAGGUAUUACUACUUGCCUCUCAGAUUUCAGCUUAAAUACUAUUUCUUGAGAGAAGUCUUUUCUACUCCCCAUCUAAGUCAAAUCCCUUCUUAGUGGCUACCACAGUACCAUGCAUCUGUUCUUAGCAGCUAUUACAAGUAUAAUUUUACAUUUACUUUUUUGGAAUUAUUCUAUUGAUAUUUGUUUCUUUAGUAGAGUAUAAGCUUUUUGACUUCAGAAAUAAUGUUUUUUCUGUUUUUCCCAGCAUUCUGUUCACUAGAUUUAGUACACAGCUCAACACACAGUAGUUCUCGAAUACACAUUUGUUAAACAGAUAUAAGGAAUACGUAGUUCAAUGUACUAUCAUGACAGAUGAAGAAGAGAAUAUAAAGAACUUAAUGAAGGUACUUUUAUGGAAUUCACACUUUUCUUUUUUCCUUCAAGUUAAUUACUAGUCUUUUAAUGUCUCAGUGGAGAAAACAAUGAAAUGACCACAAAUAAAUCGGCAUUGAAUUGAAGACAAACUGAUUACAGCAACAAAUUUAACCAUCUGCUCCUGAUCAAGGACCAUGUCCAUAAUCUUAUUCAUCAAAAGCUUCAUGUUUUUUUGCCCUGCCAAGAGCCCAAAUCACUGGUGUCCAAAUUAUCACAGUUAACACUUGCUGAUUUUAUGACCUAUAAAAUGUCCUCAGGAUGCUGAUCAUUGUAACAACACGUGGAAAAAUACAACCUCACUAAGGCCCUAUGUGGUCCAUUGGUGGAGCUGUUUUCCCUUAUCUGCCCCCUCUAGUGAAAAGGUAUGUCACUCUUAAGGGUAAGAUUGAGAAAAGAACUGAAUAUAUACAAUUCAGCCUUUUCUUCUCACUCUUUAGACUCUUCCUGCUAAGAAACAGGAUGCAUUGUGCACCUCCUGCUUCCAAAAAGCAAGCACACUGGGGUCAGUGCCUAGGUCAGCGUUCUGGAGAUGAUUUUAGUUCAUCUUGCUUUUCUCCCUACUUACAUUAUGAAGCCUCACAGUCAUGAGGCCAGAAUUCUGGGUGAGUACAUGCUACUCCUUAGGCUAAGACCCCUUUUACCUAUUCACAAGUUCCUAUUUCAUCUAGUUAGCUCUUAGUAUCAUUUAGAUCUGAGUUCACUUAUUACUUCCUUAGAGAAGCCUUCCUAACACCGUCCUCGGUGAAUUCAAGAUUUCUUCCUCCUCCUCCCCCCAGUAAAGAGGCCUCAGCAGAGGUACCUGGAGAUGACCUCAGAUAAAGAGACCUCAGAAUGCGGGUGCCCAUCAAAACCAAGAAAUCAAAUAUGUGAAGAAUAUGACUGGCCAGGAAACCUGAAUGGCUGACUGCAGCUCUCUUCACAGGCUGUAAUGCACUAGUUGUACACAGGUCUGGCCCAGAGAGGGCAGCUUUCUCCCAUCAGACCUGCCAGUUAAAGCCUU
rnacentral:lncRNA from 1 species